AUGGACCUCUAUGCACUACCCGAGAUUAGGCAAUUUUGACUAAUAAUUCCGGUCGAGAAAAUAUUGUCCGAGUUUGGACGCCAUUUUCGACCACCAUGGUUGGAAAUUUGUUCACAUUUAAUUUGCCAUUUUUUUUUUAGAAAUAUGCGAUCACCUUCUCGACAAAAGUAGUCAGAAAUGUCCGCGUGAAAACCUGUAAAUUAGCUUCCGACCGAGAUGAUCGGUUAGGAAAGUCAACUUUUUUCUUUGACCAAAAAUUUUAAAAAAUUAACUGCGCUACUUGACCGACCGAUUCGGUUGGUCAAUUUUAAAAUACAAAUUUUAUUUUAUUUUGUGAACUCCAAUUCUGAUCUAUUUCAUUCUCCCUCUUUCCCCUCUCUCUCUCUCGCUUUCCUCUCUUUCCCUUCUCUCUCUCUCUCUCUUUCAAGCGACCAAUAGCUUUGUUUUUUUACCUUACCUUUAGUUUUUUGUGUCUUUUUUAGUUACAGGCGGCGAUGACACUCAAGAGGAACUUGGCAGAUUUUCAGCGGACUCCGCCAGCAACAACGACAAUGAGGUACUUUUAAAAACAAAUAUCGUGGUCGAGUGGAAAUCGAGGAUGCAUUAGAUGUAGCAUACCAGAAUGACAUUUCAAGUGUUGAAGAAAUGGUAGAAGAUGAAUUAGCAGAUGAAUUGCAGCAUAGCAAAAGUAUCUAUAAAGAAUUUGAACAUUCUGUCCUUGGAUCAAAUCAACAUAAGUAUGGAGAAGGAACAUCCAUUAGAAACAAGGAUGAAGAUCAAAUGAUGAACACGAAACAUACAAGGAAGAGUUACUUGAUGAAAAUGAAGCAAGCAAUGAUGAAGAAUUAUAUGAUCAAUAUGAAAAAAGUAAUAAGGAUUGAUUUGUUGGGGUUUUGUAACAUAUUGAACUUCUUAUAUUAUUCUUUUAAUUAUCUAAUAUGUCGAAGAAUUGUUUUAUGUUUU